rnacentral:rRNA from 1 species
UACGGCGGGGGCUAGCGUUGUUCGGAAUUACUCGGCGUAAAGGGCGAGUAGGCGGGCGAUCAAGUCAGGGGUGAAAGGCAUGGGCUCAACCUGGGAAUUGCCUUUGAAACUGAUUGUCUAGAGUCCGGAAGAGGAUGGCGGAAUUCCCAGUGUAGAGGUGAAAUUCGUAGAUAUUGGGAAGAACACCAGUGGAGAAGGCGGCCAUCUGGUUCGGUACUGACGCUGAGGCGCGAAAGCGUGGGGAGCAAACAGG